rnacentral:rRNA from 1 species
GACGAACGCUGGCGGCGUGCUUAACACAUGCAAGUCGAGCGGUAAGGCCCUUUCGGGGGUACACGAGCGGCGAACGGGUGAGUAACACGUGGGUGACCUGCCCUCAGCUCUGGGAUAAGCCUGGGAAACCGGGUCUAAUACCGGAUAUGACUCCAUGACGCAUGUUGUGGGGUGGAAAGCCUUGUGCGGCUGAGGAUGGGCCCGCGGCCUAUCAGCUUGUUGGUGGGGGUGAUGGCCUACCAAGGCGACGACGGGUAGCCGGCCUGAGAGGGCGACCGGCCACACUGGGACUGAGACACGGCCCAGACUCCUACGGGAGGCAGCAGUGGGGAAUCUUGCGCAAUGGGCGAAAGCCUGACGCAGCGACGCCGCGUGAGGGAUGACGGCCU